rnacentral:rRNA from 1 species
UCUGUGAUGCCCUUAGAUGUUCUGGGCCGCACGCGCGCUACACUGAUAAAGUCAGCAAGUAUUCACCUUGGCCGGAAGGUCUGGGUAAUCUUUUGAAACUUUAUCGUGCUUGGGAUAGUCCUUUGCAAUUAUUGGACUUCAACGAGGAAUUCCUAGUAAGUGCGAGUCAUCAGCUCGCGUUGAUUACGUCCCUGCCCUUUGUACACACCGCCCGUCGCUACUACCGAUUGAAUGGCUUAGUGAGACCCUCGGAUUGGCGAGUCAUAGCUGGCAACAGCCAAGGCCUGCCGAGAAGUUGGUCAAACUUGGUCAUUUAGAGGAAGUAA